UAUGGGUGACCUGCGGAGGUCAUUACUGAUUUGCUUAAUUGCACCACAUGUGUUUUUUAUUGAACAAAUUUCUUUGGUGGCGGGAGCAAUCCUACCGCCAGAGGUUAUAACUAAACCAAACUUUUUAUUUACAGUCAAACUUGAUUUAUUAUUACAAUAGUCAAAACUUUCAACAACGGAUCUCUUGGUUCUCGCAUCGAUGAAGAACGCAGCGAAAUGCGAUACGUAAUAUGAAUUGCAGAUAUUCGUGAAUCAUCGAAUCUUUGAACGCACAUUGCGCCCUUUGGUAUUCCAAAGGGCAUGCCUGUUUGAGCGUCAUUUCUCCCUCAAACCCCCGGGUUUGGUGUUGAGCAAUACGCUAGGUUUGUUUGAAAGAAUUUAACGUGGAAACUUAUUUUAAGCGACUUAGGUUUAUCCAAAAACGCUUAUUUUGCUAGUGGCCACCACAAUUUAUUUCAUAACUUUGACCUCAAAUCAGGUAAGACUACCCGCUGAACUUAAGCAUAUCAAUAAGCGGAAGAA
rnacentral:rRNA from 1 species